GAUGAACGCUAGCGGCAGGCCUAAUACAUGCAAGUCGAACGGUGUCUUCGGACAUAGUGGCGCACGGGUGCGUAACACGUAUGCAACCUACCUUACAUUGGGGGAUAGCCUUUCGAAAGGGAGAUUAAUACCGCAUAAGACAGUAGCUGGGCAUCCAGCAGCUGUUAAAGAUUUGUCGAUGUAAGAUGGGCAUGCGUCCAAUUAGUUAGUUGGCGAGGUAAUGGCUCACCAAGACUUUGAUUGGUAGGGGAACUGAGAGGUCAAUCCCCCACACUGGCACUGAGAUACGGGCCAGACUCCUACGGGAGGCAGCAGUAGGGAAUAUUGGGCAAUGGAGGCAAGUCUGACCCAGCCAUGCCGCGUGCAGGAUGAAGGCGUUAUGCGUUGUAAACUGCUUUUAUACAGGAAGAAACGACUCUUGCGAGAGGCAUUGACGGUACUGUAUGAAUAAGCACCGGCUAACUCCGUGCCAGCCGCCGCGGUAA
rnacentral:rRNA from 1 species